AAAUGCUGUUCAACUCAGAUUGAUUGGUAACAAAAUACUGGACACGUUUGUUAUGGAAUACUUUCUAACACGCUUCUGCCUUGGAGACUAUGUGUCUUCUGGCACGUAGGCCGACAUGCUCCCCAGGCCCCGUGGCCUCACACACCUGCCUCCGCUCUACAGCAGAGUCGUCUUUCAGCAAUGAGGCAACCUUCCACCAAUCAGGUGCAGUGAGAACGGUUACGGAGCGUGGUGAGAACUCUCACUACUGUCUUUUACCUGGGAAACAGUGCUGCCUUAGGGAGGGGCUUGACUCGCAGGCCACUCUCUGAAUGAGGGCCAAACAAAAAGUCUCACCACCAGGUUUGAAAAAAAGAAUGCAAACAAGGGAGAAACAAAACAGUCGAGUGUGGGAACUUUUUCCUGUUCCUUUUUUCUUCUUCCAGGAGCUUUUAUCAGUAUUAACUCUGCUUACACAGGUAUUUGUGCACCUGUGGCGGUGGAUUAGUGGAUCACGUUCUUCAUUGUUUGACAAAAUAAGCAUUGUGAGCUACUCUCAGCAAAAAUAUAAAUUCAACACUUUUGUUUUUGCUCCUAUCUUUCAAGAGCUGAAUUGACAAGAUGUAAA